CCGGAAGUCCAGGGAGCGCAGCGGAGACAGAGUGGCCGGAGGCGUCCGUCCUCAUCACACUUGGCGGGUCUUCUCACGGUAUAUAAGAAGUGCCUGCCGUGCCUGCUGUACUGACUGGGUCACUGGAAGGAAGCCUUGGACAGAGAGGACCUGAGCUGUUCCAUCCUGCAUAAGUCUUGCCUGCUGUAUGACCUCCACUCCUGUGAGGGUCAACAUUUGACAUUGCAAGACAUCACAAUCCAGAACCUUUUCACAGCUGAGAUCCUCAGAGACUGUGUGCAAGGUUCUUUAAAAUAGAUCUGAUGUAUCAACAUAUGUGAGGGCCAACAUUCGACAUCGCAAGACAUCACAUCACGAUCCAGAACCUUUUCACAGCUGAGAUCCUCAGAGACUAUGUGCAAGCUAUCAAUUCCAUGGUAACCUGACGCGUCCCUGUGCCCACAGCAGCUGCGUAGGUUCCGGCUACACGAUGACGUCACUUCCGGGGUAUGCAAUGCAGCCAUGGCCGGUAGCAUGUGUCCGCAUCCGGAAGUGUGGGAUCCAUGGUCGUGCCCGCGGCGGCGGUUGGCUGUCCUGGGGGUAUCCAUGUUGGCUAAUUUAUCUGGAAAAGAGUAUAUUGACCACUGACCAGCGUCAACUUUGGACACAGUGAUUAUCCAGAGUGCCUCAACCUUAGCCGCCUGAUCUUCUGCACCCUCAGUUAAGAAGCAAAAUGACACCAGUAAUCUUAUUAUAUUUAAAACUUCUAUAUUGCAUGAUGUACGGUCAGUGACUUUAAUCCAUUAUACUUUAAAGGAUUACCUAUCUUGUAUAUGUGCCCUGUGCCAGCACAUUUUCAUACAGACCCAACUGUUUCAAGUUGCUAAUUGAUCUGUAAAUUGUAUUACUGUUACAUUUUUGGAAUAUUUUUAAGGUAUCUUGUUUACCAGUGCAGAACUGUUAUACUGACAUUACACAAAGUGUGAAAUAUUAUUUUGGGAGCUCAGUCUCUAGUGAGGAUAUACAGUAGAUUAUCCUAAUUUAAUUUAAUUUAUACCUGCCUACCGGAUUGUUUGUUAGGCUACUUAGGCAACCGUUAUUCUGUAAAUUAAGGGUUUACUAGACCACUGCUCCUGUAAUUUACACUCCUAUUUGCCUGUGUGCUCAGUAUCUACUAAUGACCUAGUAGCGAUAUUUAGGUCUUGUUAUAAUAUUUUCAUCCUCGUAUCAUUCAAGUUCUUUUUUUUCAUUUAUUUAUACCUGCCUACCUGAUUGUUAGGCAACUGUUACUCUGUACAUUAAAGGCUCACUAGACCGCUGCUCCUGGAGUUUACAAUCCUAUUUGCCUGUGUUCAGUAUCUACUACUGUCCUAGUCUAGUCUAGUUAUAAUAUUUUCAUCUUCAUAUCAGUCAAGCUAUAUCUACCUAAAUAUCUUUUGGCUAAAGUGUGUAUUUAAAAAUUAUUAUUAUUUUGCAAUGAAAUUAUUUCCCAAAAAGAAACUUAGUGGAGCGGAAGGCAGGGAAAAAAAGAAAAUUGCAAGAUGCAGCAGCUAGAAAAAUAGGAUUUUAAUACCUACCGGUAAAUCCUUUUCUCCUAGUCCGUAGAGGAUGCUGGGGACUCCAAAAGGACCAUGGGGUAUAGACGGGAUCCGCAGGAGACAUGGGCACACUAAAAGACUUUGACUGGGUGUGAACUGGCUCCUCCCUCUAUGCCCCUCCUCCAGACCUCAGUUAUAGGAACUGUGCCCAAGGAGACGGACAUUUCGAGGAAAAGGAUUUUUGUUAAACGAAGGGUGAGAUACAUACCAGCUCACACCACAACACACCGUACAACUGGAUUACCAAGAAAACCAGAUAACAGUAUGAACAAAAAAACAGCAACAAGCUGAACAUGACCGAUACACAACCUUUGUGUAACCGAAACCAACAAGUAACAAUACAACCGCAAGUAACAGUACGCACUGGGAUAGGCGCCCAGCAUCCUCGACGGACUAGGAGAAAAGGAUUUACCGGUAGGUAUUAAAAUCCUAUUUCUCUUACGUCCUAGAGGAUGCUGGGGACUCCAAAAGGACCAUGAGGUCUAUACCAAAGCUCCAGACCGGGCGGGAGAGUGCGGACGACUCUGCAGCACCGAUUGAGCAAACAUGAGGUCCUCAUCAGCCAGGGUAUCAAACUUGUAGAAUUUUGCAAAAGUGUUUAAACCCAAACACGUAGCUGCUCGGCAAAGCUGAAGUGCCAAGACCCCUCGGGCAGCCGCCCAAGAUGAGCCCACCUUCCUGGUAGAAUGGGCCUUCACCGACUUCGGCAAUGGCAAUCCAGCUGUAGAAUGAGCGUGCUGAAUCGUAUUACAAAUCCAGAGCGCAAUCGUCUGCUUGGAAGCAGGAUUUCCAAUAUUGUUGGAAGCAUACAGGACAAACAGAGCCUCUGUUUUCCUCACAAGAGCCGUUCUGGCGACAUAAAUCUUCAACGCUCUUACCACAUCGAGACAUUUUGGCACCGCCACGGCAUCCGUAGCCACUGGCACCACAAUAGGUUGGUUUAUGUGAAACGAAGAAACCACCUUUGGCAGAAAUUGUUGACGAGUCCUCAAUUCCGCUCUAUCCACAUGGAAAAUCAAAUAUGGGCUCUUGUGAGACAAAGCCGCCAAUUCCGACACCCGUCUGGCGGAUUCCAAGGCCAAAAGCAUGACCACUUUCCAAGUGAGAAAUUUAAACUCAACCUUUCGCAAAGGUUCAAACCAGUGAGACAUAAGAAAUUGUAACACCACGUCAAGAUCCCACGGUGCCACGGGUGGCACAAAUGGAGGAUGGAUAUGCAGCACUCCCUUCACGAAAGUCUGAACGUCAGGAAGGGCGGCCAAUUCUUUUUGAAAGAAAAUAGAUAAAGCCGAAAUCUGCACUUUGAUGGAACCUAAUUUUAGGCCUGCAUCCACACCUCCCUGCAAAAAAUGGAGGAAACGACCCAGCUGAAACUCAUCCGCAGGAGCUUUCCUGGCUUCACACCACGACACAUAUUUUCUCCAAAUACAGUGAUAAUGCUUCGCCGUGACCUCCUUUCUAGCCUUAAGGAGAGUGGGGAUGACUUCCCCGGGAAUACCCUUUCGAGCUAGAAUUUGGCGUUCAACCUCCACACCAUCAAACGCAGCCGCGGUAAGUCCUGAAAAACGCAUGGCCCUUGCAGUAACAGGACCUCUCUGAGAGGAAGCGGCCAAGGAUCUUCUAUGAGCAAUUCCUGAAGAUCCGGAUACCAGGCCCUCCGUGGCCAAUCUGGAACGACAAGUACUGCCGGAACUCUUGUUCGUCUUAUGAUCCUCAACACUUUCGGAAUGAGAGGAAGAGGAGGGAACACAUAUACCGACUGAAACACCCACGGAAUUACCAGGGAGCCCACUGCACUGGCUUGGGGGUCCCUUGACCUGGAACAGUACCUCGGAAGCUUCUUGUUGAGGCGAGACGCCAUCAUGUCUAUUUGAGGAAUUCCCCAACGCCUUGUCACUUCUACAAAUACCUCUUGAUGAAGAGCCCACUCUCCCGAGUGUCUGCUGAGGAAGUCUGCUUCCGAGUUGUCCACGCCUAGAAGGAAAACUGCUGACAGAGCGCUCAUGUGCUUUUCCACCCAAAAGAGAACUCUUGUGGCCUCUGCCAUUGCCGCUCUGCUCCUUGCUCCGCCCUGACGGUUUACGUACGCUACCACUGUUACGUUGUCCGACUGAAUCAGGACAGGUAGACCUCGAAGGUGUUCCGCUUGCAGAAGGCCGUUGUAAAUGGCUCUUAACUCCAGAACGUUUAUGUGGAGACAAGUUUCCUGGCUUGACCAUUUUCCCUGGAAACUUCUUCCUAGCGUGACUGCUCCCCAGCCUCGGAGACUUGCAUCCGUGGUCAGCAGGACCCAAUCCUGGAUUCCGAACCUGCGUCCCUCUAGAAGGUGAGAACUUUGCAGCCACCACAGGAGAGAAAUUCUGGUCCUGGAAGAUAGACUUAUUUUCCGGUGCAAGUGCAGGUGAGACCCGGACCAUUUGUCCAGCAGGUCCCACUGAAACACCCAGGCAAGAAACCUGCCAAACGGAAUGGCUUCGUAAGCCGCAACCGUCUUCCCUAGCACUCGAGUGCAUUGAUGAAUCAACACUCUUGUCGGUUUCAGAACUCUUUGCAGUUCCGUGUCCAGGAUCAUGCCCAAGAAAGGCAGCCGAGUUGUCGGAAUCAACUGAGAUUUUGGCAAAUUUAGAAUCCAACCAUGAUGUUGCAGAACCGUCAGGGAGAGUUCCACAUUUCUUAGCAACUGCUCCUUCGAUCUCGCCUUUAUCAGGAGACCAUCCAAGUACGGGAUAACUGUGACACCUUGCUUGCGUAGGAGCACCAUCAUUUCCGCCAUCACUUUGGUGUAGACCCUCGGGGCCGUGGAAAGCCCAAACGGCAUCGUCUGAAAUUGGUAAUGACAAUCCUGCACCGCAAAUCUCAUAAACGCCUGAUGUGGAGGAUAUAUCGGGAUGUGCAAGUAGGCAUCUUUUAUGUCUACUGACGCCAGAAAAUCCCCCACUUCUAGACUGGAGAUCACUGCCCGAAGAGAUUCCAUUUUGAACUUGAAAGUUUUCAAAUACAGAUUGAGGGAUUUAGGUUCAGGAUCGGUCUGACCGAGCCAUCCGGCUUUGGUACGACAAAGAGGCUUGAAUAAAACCCUUCUCCCCGUUGGGACGGGGGUACCGGGACAAUGACACACUGUUGACACAGCUUUUGUAUUGCCGCACUCACUACUUCCCUUUCUGGGACAGAAACUGGCAAGGCUGAUUUGAAAAAUCGGUGGGGGGACAGGUCCUGAAACUCCAGUUUGUAUCCUUGGGACACUAUGUCUAACACCCAAAGAUCUAGGCCCGAGUGGACCCAGACCAGACUGAAGAGUCUGAGACGCGCCCCCAACAGCACGGACUCCCGUAAAGGAGCCCCAGCGUCAUGCGGUGUACUUGGCAGAGGCCGGGGAGGACUUUUGGUCCUGGGAGCCUGACGCAGAAGGUGCCCUUUUCCCCCUUCCUCUACCUUUUGAAGCAAUGAAGGACGAGACUCUUAUUAGGCCGAAAGGAAUGCAUCUGAUAAUGGGGUGCCGUUUUCUAUUGUGCUGGAACAUAAGGAAGAAAAGAUGACUUACCCGCUGUAGUGGUAGACACCAGGUCAGCGAGGCCAUCCCCAAACAAGACACUACCUUUAUAAGGGAGAGCUUCCAUAGCUUUCUUGGAGACGGCAUCAGCAUUCCAUUGAUGAAUCCACAGCGCUCUCCUGGCCGAGACAGCCAUGGCAUUGGCCCUUGAUCCCAAGAGGCCAAUAUCCCUCGCAGCAUCCUUUAGGUAAGCUGCAGCGUCCCUGAUAUAACCGAGAGUUAAAAGAAUGUUAUCCCUAUCCAGGGUAUCCAUAUCAGAUGCCAAAUUAUCAGCCCACUUAGCAAUAGCACUACUCACCCAAGCCGACGCCACGGCAGGUCUGAGGAGUGCACCCGUAGUGACAUAAAUAGUUUUUAAUUACGUUUCCUGCUUACGAUCCGCAGGAUCCUUGACGGCAGCAGUGUCAGGAGACGGAAGUGCCACCUCCUUGGACAGCCGGGAGAGGGCCUUGUCCACAUUGGGAGAUGACUCCCACUUUUCCCUGUUGACAGAGGUGAAAGGAUAUGCCAUAAAAAUUCUCUUGGGAACUUGCCACCUUUUGUCAGGCGAUUCCCAAGCCUUUUCACAAAGAGCAUUCAGUUCAUGAGAGGGGGGAAACGUCACCUCAGGCUUUUUCCCUUUAUAUAAACAAACCCUUGUGUCUGGAACAGCAGUCACCUCAGAAAUAUGUAAAACAUCUUUAAUUGCCACAAUCAUGUACUGAAUACUCUUCACCACUCUUGGAUGUAAACUGGCCUCACUAAAGUCGACACUGGAAUCAGUGUCCGUGUCGGUAUCAGAAUCCGCCAUCUGGGUAAAUGAACGCUUUUGUGACCCCGAGGGUGCCUUUACCUGGGAUAAGGCUUCCUCCAUAGAUUUUCUCCACGUUUAAGUCUGAGAAUCAGAUUUAUCCAGCCUCUUAAACAAUAAUGCCACAUUUGCAUUCAAUGUACUUAACAUGGCCACCCAAUCAGCAGUCGGCUGUGCCGACAGAGACACUCCCAACUCUUUCUCUGCGCCCCCAGUAACCUCCUCCGGGGAGGACACUCAGCCUCAGACAUGUCGACACACCGUACCGACAUACACACACUCACACUCGACAUACACACAGACCCACAGAGAAGCCUGUUAGAGAGAACACAGAGGGAGUAUACCAGCUCACACCCCAGCGCCCAUAUGCUAGAAAAAAAAUAAUAUAUGAUCACUGCGCUGCUUUGAUAGCACCAAAUAACUGUGACUUCCCCCCGUUUUGCUCCCUUUACUUGUUGAGGAGAGUGGAGGUCCCGGGCUAGCGUCUCUGCAUGUCUGUGAAGAGAGAAAAAUGGCGCUGGUAAGCUGUGAGGGCUAAGCCACGCCCCCUCCCGGCGCGCUGUAGUCCUGCUCAAAUUUGAAUAUUUAGACUGGCGGGGGUCUUAUAUUUAAUGCCUAGGUACUUAUAUAUAUGUUUUUGCCAGUGUUAUUAGCUCCAGUAACUUGCUGCCCUAGGCGCCCCCCCUGCGCCCUGUAAGUGCCGUUGGUGUAUGUGUGGGAGCAUGGCACGCAGCGCGACCGCUGCACUGUACCUCCGUCACUGAAGUCUUCUGCCGUCACUGAAGUCUUUUUGCUUCUUUAUACUCACCCGGCUUCUUUCUUCUGGCUUCUGUGAGGGGGUUGAUGGCGCGGCUCCGGGAACAAGCAGCUAGGCGCACCAAGUGAUCGAACCUCUGGAGCUAAUGGUGUCCAGUACCCUAAGAAGCAGAGCCUUUAACUCAGAAGAAGUAGGUCUGACUUCUUUCCCCUCACCUUGACGAAGCAGGGAGCCUGUAGCCAGCAAGUCUCCCUGAAAAUAAAAAACCUAACAUAAAGUCUUUUCAGAGAAACUCAGGAGAGCUCCCCUAGUGUGUGUACUGUCUCUCUGGGCACAGAAUC